GAUGAAGAACGCAGCGAAAUGCGAUAAGUAGUGUGAAUUGCAGAAUUCCGUGAAUCAUCGAAUCUUUGAACGCACAUUGCGCCUUCUGGUAUUCCGGAAGGCAUGCCUGUUCGAGAGUCAUUAACAACCGUUUCGAUCCCUUUCUUUCAGAAAUUACAAAGAGGAAAAGGGUUUGGUUAUGGUGGAGGAGGGAAAGGGAGCGUUUAGCCUGUAAAAAAAGAGGCUGUGUUCCGCCUCCCCCCCAAAAUUGUACAGGCGGUCGUGUGCGCCCACGCAUCGAGGUGUUGUAAAAGCUGCCACGGCACUUUUCACCUGUGCAGUGCGAGAUUGGCCAGCCGGUUUAAAAACCCCUCCAAACAAUCAAAGGUUGACCUCGGAUCAGGUAGGGAUACCCGAUGAACUUAAGCAUAUCAAUAAGCGGAGGA
rnacentral:misc_RNA from 1 species